UGUUUAGCAGCAUCUCUGACUUCUGCCCAUUGGAUACCAACAGUCCCUCCCUAACCCCCAGUUGGGGCAACCAAAUAUGUCUCUAUACAUUGCAGAUGCCCUCUGUAGGACACUAUGUAGUACAUUGGCAUGUACUACAGUGGAUAAAUAUAGCUACAGUAUAGGACAGAGGUUUUGAAUGAUGCAGACAAGAACUGCAAGAGUUGGGACCGAGGGUAAGGAGCAUGUAUGAGGAAGAGAUCAAAAUUGUACACACUUAUCUCUCAAAUAUUUGUUCAGCCUUCGAUGUGGUUUUAACUUUGAAGACGUCACCUUUUUCAGAGGAAAUGAUCUGCUUAAAUUGUGUCGUGUUUGAAAAAAACAGAUGUUAUCACAGACUGCUGUGUUAGAAUGUCAUUCUCUUUGUCAUAGCAUCCCUCGUUAAGUCUGAUUGAGCAAGUCAGCUAUGCAUUUAACCAAGUGUAUGAGAUUGAUCAUGAUUCUGUGUUCUCCAACUUCCUGGCUCUGAGUUUCCAAAAGAGAAAUCUUCUAGGAAAACAUGCUCUUAAAUUCUUCUUCAAAUGAAUUGUCAUUCUCCACCAGGUACAAUAAUUGUGUUAUAUCAAAAUCACUGCAGAGCAAAUUAAAUUGGAUGACUACGGCA